rnacentral:rRNA from 1 species
CCUACGGGGGGCAGCAGUCGAGAAUCAUUCACAAUGGGGGAAACCCUGAUGGUGCGACGCCGCGUGGGGGAAUGAAGGUCUUCGGAUUGUAAACCCCUGUCAUGUGGGAGCAAAUUAAAAAGAUAGUACCACAAGAGGAAGAGACGGCUAACUCUGUGCCAGCAGCCGCGGUAAUACAGAGGUCUCAAGCGUUGUUCGGAAUCACUGGGCGUAAAGCGUGCGUAGGCUGUUUCGUAAGUCGUGUGUGAACGUCGCGGACUCAACCCGCGGACGGCACAUGAUACUGCGAGACUAGAGUAAUGGAGGGGGAACCGGAAUUCUCGGUGGAGCAGUGAAAUGCGUAGAUAUCGAGAGGAACACUCGUGGCGAAGGCGGGUUCCUGGACAUUAACUGACGCUGAGGCACGAAGGCCAGGGGAGCGAAAGGGAUUAGAUACCCGGGUAGUC